CAAUAGCGUAUAUUAAAGUUGUUGCAGUUAAAAAGCUCGUAGUUGGAUUUCUGGUGGGAGCGAUCGGUCUGGCGCUUAGCGCGAGUACUUGCAUCGUCUCCGGCCAUCCUUGGGGAGAGUCUGUCUGGCAUUAGGUUGUCGGGCAGAGGAUCCUCAUCGUUUACUGUGAAAAAAUUAGAGUGUUCAAAGCAGGCUUAUGCCGUUGAAUAUAUUAGCAUGGAAUAAUAAGAUAGGACUUUGGUACUAUUUUGUUGGUUUGCGCACCAAAGUAAUGAUUAAUAGGGACAGUUGGGGGUAUUCGUAUUCCGUUGUCAGAGGUGAAAUUCUUGGAUUUACGGAAGACGAACUACUGCGAAAGCAUUUACCAAGGAUGUUUUCAUUAAA
rnacentral:rRNA from 1 species